ACGUCCAGAUCAGCUGGGAGCACAGGAGGCAAACAAAAGACUGCAGGAGCUGCAGGUGACUUCAGCCAGAGCCGCCGAGCUCUGGGCAUGGAUAGGCUUUCUGUGUUCAAGCGCAGAGGCCGCCCUUGCUCCUCGUUCCCGCAUUUCAGAGUGGACUCUGAGAUCCUGCUUCUGGCUCUCCUCAGAGUCCUGAUUUCCCACAGCUGUCUUCAUCUGAGUCUCUUUCACAAGCCUGACCUGCUCCCGAUCUCCACCCCGGCCCAGCUCUGUGCUCCUGCUUGGCCAAGAAAUUUCCACAGCAGUCAGUCAAGAUUGCCGCUGCACUCCAGCUUGGGCAACAGAGUGAGACUGUCUCAAAAAAAAAAGGGAAAUUUCCACAGUCACCCCAACCUACAUCAAUCACCAUGCUGAUCAAUAAAUAGCCAUCAACAUCAAAGCAAGACCCUCCACCAGCAAAAUGAUUACUGCUCACUGAAGGCUCAGGUCAAUUCUGACUUUACCCACAAGGCCGAGAUUUAUUUUCAGUAGAGACAAAGCAAAGCUGGCACCUGCAGCUCUUUGUAUUUUCAACUUUGCAUUUGGGCUUAAAAUGUUCAAGUAUUUCUUGGCAAUCGUCCCAGAGAGACUAGAAUUUAUCCAGCAGCCAAAGAGUUGAGUCCUGUACAGAAACUACACAUCCAAUGAAAACAUCUUCAUUUAUUAUUAUCCUUUCUUAUGGAUAUCUGCAUAUCUGAUCAGCUUCAACUGCACUCCAUCUUAACAUUUUGCU